ensembl:lncRNA
AGAAAAUGCAUUUCCUGAAGGAAAUACCAGUGCAUGAAAUGCAAAAGUUAAGAAAGGAAGAAAAAAACAAAGAAGAGUGAAAGAAGGAAAGAAGAGUGGAAGAAGAGUAAAAGAAGAAGAAAAGUAAAGAAGAAGGAAAGAAGAAAAGAAAGAAGAGUGAAGAAAGAAAAGAAGAGUGGAAGAAGGAAAGAAGAAAAAAAAGAAAAGUGAAAGAAGGAAAGAAGAGUGAAAGAAGGAAAAAAGAGUGGAAGAAGGAAAGAAAGAAGAGUGAAAGAAGGAAAGAAGAGUGGAAGAAGGAAAGAAGAAAAGAAAGAAGAGAGAAAGAAGGAAAGAAGAGUGGAAGAAGGAAAGAAGAAAGGAAAGAAGAGUGGAAGAAGGAAAGAAGAGUGGAAGAAGAGUGAAGAAAGAAAAGAAGAGUAGAAGAAGGAAAGAAGACUGGAAGAAGGAAAGAAGAGUGAAGAAAGAAAAGAAGAGUAGAAGAAGGAAAGAAGAGUGGAAGAAGGAAAGAAGAAAGGAAAGAAGAGUGAAGAAAGGAAAGAAGAAAAGAAAGAUGAAGGAAAGAAGAGUGAAGAAAGAAAAGAAGAGUAGAAGAAGGAAAGAAGAGUGGAAGAAGGAAAGAAGAGUGAAGAAAGAAAAGAAGAGUAGAAGAAGGAAAGAAGAGUGGAAGAAGGAAAGAAGAAAGGAAAGGAGAGUGGAAGAAGGAAAGAAUAAUAUUCCUAGUUAUACAGUUGAAUGGAGAGGGACAG